CUCUGGUUUACCGGUUGUGGCGCCAGCCGCACCGCCGGGUAUCCACGUUCGGUUAGGAUAAGCGCUGAAAGCAUCUAAGCGCGAAGCCGGCUUCAAGAUGAGAUUUCCAUAGAGUGUCGUGGGAGACUACCACGUUGAUAGGCAGAAGGUGUAAAGGCAGUAAUGUCAAAGCCGAUCUGUGCUAAUAGCCCGAGAGCUUCGAGAAA
rnacentral:rRNA from 1 species